CAGCAGCCACGGUAAUACAGAGGGUGCGAGCGUUAAUCGGAUUUACUGGGCGUAAAGCGUGCGUAGGCGGCUUCUUAAGUCGGAUGUGAAAUCCCUGAGCUUAACUUAGGAAUUGCAUUCGAUACUGGGAAGCUAGAGUAUGGGAGAGGAUGGUAGAAUUCCAGGUGUAGCGGUGAAAUGCGUAGAGAUCUGGAGGAAUACCGGUGGCGAAGGCGGCCCCCUGGACAAAGACUGACGCUCAGGUGCGAAAGCGUGGGGAGCAAACAGGAUUAGAUACCCGCGUAGUCCCUGUCUCUUAUAC
rnacentral:rRNA from 1 species